AGACACUCAAGCCAAGGCUGAGCACCACCAGGGCAGCCACCAGCUGCAGGACCACAGCUGAUAACCUCUCAACUUUGGCCCAGCCACCCCGACUGGGGGAGGGCGGUAGGAGCGGAAA